rnacentral:tRNA from 1 species
CCCGGCGGUGCGGCGACCGGUGAGGCUGUGGUGCGUUCGCCGCACACGAACGCGAUCUCGUUCACCGGCUCGUCCGCCGCGGGCCGCCGGGUC